rnacentral:rRNA from 1 species
UUUAGGUAGCGCCUCGUGAAUUCAUCUCCGGGGGUAGAGCACUGUUUCGGCAAGGGGGUCAUCCCGACUUACCAACCCGAUGCAAACUGCGAAUACCGGAGAAUGUUAUCACGGGAGACACACGGCGGGUGCUAACGUCCGUCGUGAAGAGGGAAACAACCCAGACCGCCAGCUAAGGUCCCAAAGUCAUGGUUAAGUGGGAAACGAUGUGGGAAGGCCCAGACAGCCAGGAUGUUGGCUUAGAAGCAGCCAUCAUUUAAAGAAAGCGUAAUAGCUCACUGGUCGAGUCGGCCUGCGCGGAAGAUGUAACGGGGCUAAACCAUGCACCGAAGCUGCGGCAGCGACGCUUAUGCGUUGUUGGGUAGGGGAGCGUUCUGUAAGCCUGCGAAGGUGUGCUGUGAGGCAUGCUGGAGGUAUCAGAAGUGCGAAUGCUGACAUAAGUAACGAUAAAGCGGGUGAAAAGCCCGCUCGCCGGAAGACCAAGGGUUCCUGUCCAACGUUAAUCGGGGCAGGGUGAGUCGACCCCUAAGGCGAGGCCGAAAGGCGUAGUCGAUGGGAAACAGGUUAAUAUUCCUGUACUUGGUGUUACUGCGAAGGGGGGACGGAGAAGGCUAUGUUGGCCGGGCGACGGUUGUCCCGGUUUAAGCGUGUAGGCUGGUUUUCCAGGCAAAUCCGGAAAAUCAAGGCUGAGGCGUGAUGACGAGGCACUACGGUGCUGAAGCAACAAAUGCCCUGCUUCCAGGAAAAGCCUCUAAGCAUCAGGUAACAUCAAAUCGUACCCCAAACCGACACAGGUGGUCAGGUAGAGAAUACCAAGGCGCUUGAGAGAACUCGGGUGAAGGAACUAGGCAAAAUGGUGCCGUAACUUCGGGAGAAGGCACGCUGAUAUGUAGGUGAAGUCCCUUGCGGAUGGAGCUGAAAUCAGUCGAAGAUACCAGCUGGCUGCAACUGUUUAUUAAAAACACAGCACUGUGCAAACACGAAAGUGGACGUAUACGGUGUGACGCCUGCCCGGUGCCGGAAGGUUAAUUGAUGGGGUCAGCGCAAGCGAAGCUCUUGAUCGAAGCCCCGGUAAACGGCGGCCGUAACUAUAACGGUCCUAAGGUAGCGAAAUUCCUUGUCGGGUAAGUUCCGACCUGCACGAAUGGCGUAAUGAUGGCCAGGCUGUCUCCACCCGAGACUCAGUGAAAUUGAACUCGCUGUGAAGAUGCAGUGUACCCGCGGCAAGACGGAAAGACCCCGUGAACCUUUACUAUAGCUUGACACUGAACAUUGAGCCUUGAUGUGUAGGAUAGGUGGGAGGCUUUGAAGUGUGGACGCCAGUCUGCAUGGAGCCGACCUUGAAAUACCACCCUUUAAUGUUUGAUGUUCUAACGUGGACCCGUAAUCCGGGUUGCGGACAGUGUCUGGUGGGUAGUUUGACUGGGGCGGUCUCCUCCUAAAGAGUAACGGAGGAGCACGAAGGUUGGCUAAUCCUGGUCGGACAUCAGGAGGUUAGUGCAAUGGCAUAAGCCAGCUUGACUGCGAGCGUGACGGCGCGAGCAGGUGCGAAAGCAGGUCAUAGUGAUCCGGUGGUUCUGAAUGGAAGGGCCAUCGCUCAACGGAUAAAAGGUACUCCGGGGAUAACAGGCUGAUACCGCCCAAGAGUUCAUAUCGACGGCGGUGUUUGGCACCUCGAUGUCGGCUCAUCACAUCCUGGGGCUGAAGUAGGUCCCAAGGGUAUGGCUGUUCGCCAUUUAAAGUGGUACGCGAGCUGGGUUUAGAACGUCGUGAGACAGUUCGGUCCCUA